rnacentral:rRNA from 1 species
GUUUGUCGCGUCGUUUGUGAAAACCAGCAGCUCAACUGCUGGCUUGCAGGCGACACGGGCAAGACUUGAGUACUGCAGGGGAGACUGGAAUUCCUGGUGUAGCGGUGAAAUGGGGAGACAUCAGGAGGAACACCGGUGGCGAAGGCGGGUCUCUGGGCAGUAACUGACGCUGAGGAACGAAAGCGUAGGUAGCGAACAGGAAUAGAUACCCUGGUAGUCCACGCCGUAAAACGGCGGGCGCUAGGUGUGGCUUCCUUCCACGGAAUCCGUGCCGUAGCUAAACGCACUAAGCGCCCCGCCUGGGGAGUACGGCCGCAAGGCUAAAACUCAAAGGAAUUGACGGGGGCCCGCACAAGCGGCGGAGCAUGUGGAUUAAUUCGAUGCAACGCGAAG